GGCACAGUGGCUUAGUGGUUAGUGCUGUUACCGCUCACCUCCAGAGUUGGGGGUUUGAAUCCCACCUCUGCCC